CGUCGAACCACGCGUAUACGUAUUCCGGCCGCGCGUGCAGACGUGGUAAACAUCGAUGGGAGAAAGAGGAUAGCUGGUGGAAAAUGGCCGCGACGAAAUCUACGCGUACGUGAUUAUCGAUCGGUUGCUAAUCGCCUGCGAAAGUGAUUUUGGGGUGAAAAUUUACAGAAUGGAACGACCUCGACGAGUUCAAGGGUUGAAAGUCUCAAAGGUCUACGAAGAAUCGUGCUAACACGGUGAAAAUAAUGCUUGAACGUAUGCCUGCGAAUUGUAAAUUACAUCGAAUAUUUUUCGAACUGGUUUGCGUACGAAGAAUCUACGAAGCACGAUAAGUAGACUGUGCAAAUAGUCACGGCAGCGUGGACGUAAUAUGUAAUUGCAAUUGACUUUGCUUCAGCCCAAGGACUGUAAAACAAAAACUAACACACAAGCCUGAACACGGAAACGAUUUUUCGUUACGUGAAUGUAACACAACAGUUGCAACAGAAAAAAGAUAACGAACAAAAGAAUCUAAU
rnacentral:misc_RNA from 1 species